UACAGAGGUCUCAAGCGUUGUUCGGAUUCAUUGGGCGUAAAGGGUGCGUAGGUGGCGCUGUAAGUCGGGUGUGAAAUUUCGGAGCUUAACUCCGAAACUGCAUUCGAUACUGCGGUGCUUGAGGACUGGAGAGGAGACUGGAAUUCAUGGUGUAGCAGUGAAAUGCGUAGAGAUCAUGAGGAAGACCAGUGGCGAAGGCGGGUCUCUGGACAAGUUCCGUGACACUGAGGCACGAAGGCCAGGGGAGCAAACGGG
rnacentral:rRNA from 1 species